CGCGCGGACGGUUCGCCGCCGCCGCCGGGGAGCGCCGGAGACCCCCCCGGGCCGCUACUGCGUCACGUCCCCCCCGCUCCUCCGUGAGGACGUCGGCACCGGGCCGGAGUGCCGCUACCGGUGACGGAUAUCCCGGGUCCGUUGCCCGCUCGAAGCAGAAAGCAGCGACGCGGGAACUGGCGUGCGCUUGGUUUGCUCUCUCGAGUUGCAAAAUCCAGGGAAAUUGUGUUUUCGUGUGUAGCGGCCAGGGGACUUUCCCUUCCUAAGUGGCUGUUCAUAUUCCUUUGCUCGAGCCCCACAUGAACACAGAUUUCAGCACCAUCCAAUAAUAAUCUGAAAAUUGCCUUCAUGGGUGAAGAUUGCUUUGAGUGGCAUUACUGGAAGUUACCCAUAGCCCUGCCUUAAUCUGGUCUGGGAAGACUUCCUAAAAAAUCAUUUCCAUAUCCAGCCUAUCAGCUAGAGUAAGGAUAUGUAUCCAAAUGAUCAGAGUAAUUCUUGCCCAUGCCUGGUUUGGAUGAGGAGUACAUACAUGAGGACUUCAAGAUGGUAAGCUCUGCAAGGCAUCUGCACCAGCUGCCAUCUGAAUAGUCAACUGGAUAGGUGCUGCUAGCUGGAAUGGCCCUGGUCUGUCAGAGUGCUGGAAAUACAGGCCACGUGUGACCUUCAAGCAUGCUAGGAUGGAGAAAAUCCUUCAACAUUUGGAAAGCUGAUGUUCCCGAGUUGUGCUGGAAGUUGUGGUUGGGCGGGGGCACCUGUUUAAUGCUGCAAGUUUCAUAAACAGAAAGAGAGGAGAGGAGAGGAGAGGAGAGGAGAGGAGAGGAGAGGAGAGGAGAGGAGAGGA
ensembl:lncRNA